rnacentral:rRNA from 1 species
GCAGUCGACGGCAGCGCGAGAGAGCUUGCUCUCUUGGCGGCGAGUGGCGCGACGGGUGAGUAAUAUAUCGGAACGUGCCCAGUAGCGGGGGAUAACUACUCGAAAGAGUGGCUAAUACCGCAUACGCCCUACGGGGGAAAGGGGGGGAUCGCAAGACCUCUCACUAUUGGAGCGGCCGAUAUCGGAUUAGCUAGUUGGUGGGGUAAAGGCUCACCAAGGCAACGAUCCGUAGCUGGUUUGAGAGGACGACCAGCCACACUGGGACUGAGACACGGCCCAGACUCCUACGGGAGGCAGCAGUGGGGAAUUUUGGACAAUGGGGGAAACCCUGAUCCAGCCAUCCCGCGUGUAUGAUGAAGGCCUUCGGGUUGUAAAGUACUUUUGGCAGAGAAGAAAAGGUAUCCCCUAAUACGGGAUACUGCUGACGGUAUCUGCAGAAUAAGCACCGGCUAACUACGUGCCAGCAGCCGCGGUAAUACGUAGGGUGCAAGCGUUAAUCGGAAUUACUGGGCGUAAAGCGUGUGUAGGCGGUUCGGAAAGAAAGAUGUGAAAUCCCAGGGCUCAACCCUUGGAACUGCAUUUUUAACUGCCGAGCUAGAGUAUGUCAGAGGGGGGUAGAAUUCCACGUGUAGCAGUGAAAAUGCGUAGAUAUGUGGAGGAAUACCGAUGGCGAAGGCAGCCCCCCUGGGAUAAUACUGACGCUCAAGACACGAA